AACGAACGUUGGCGGCGUGGAUUAGGCAUGCAAGUCGAACGCGAAUCCCUGGGCAACUGGGGAGGAGAGUGGCGAAAGGGGCAGUAAGGCGUGGGUAACCUACCCUCCGGGCCGGGAUAGCUUCGGGAAACUGAAGGUAAUACCGGGCGACGCAGCGAGAUCGCAUGGUCUUGCUGCCAAAGGUCCGCCGCCGGGGGAGGGGCUCACGUGGUAUUAGCUAGACGGCGGGGUAACGGCCCACCGUGGCAAAGAUGCCUAGCAGGUGUGAGAGCACGACCUGCGCCACUGGCACUGAGACACUGGACAGACACCUACGGGUGGCUGCAGUCGAGGAUCUUCGGCAAUGGGCGCAAGCCUGACCGAGCGACGCCGCGUGUGCGAUGAAGGCCUUCGGGUUGUAAAGCACUGUCGAGGGGGAGGAAGCCGCAAGGUUGACCUAUCCCUGGAGGAAGCACGGGCUAAGUUCGUG
rnacentral:rRNA from 1 species